rnacentral:ncRNA from 1 species
AGAGCAUUGAGAGGGUCUUUCCCUAGUACGAGAGGACCGGGAAGGACGCACCUCUGGUGUACCAGUUAUCGUGCCCACAGUAAACACUGGGUAGCCAAGUGCGGAGCGGAUAACGUACUGUUGAAAGCAUCUAAUUAUUAGUAAGCCCACCCUAAGAUGAGUGCUCU